CACGUUUAUUUACAUGGUGGUAGAGAAGUGAAUGACACCAUUUAGAAAGAAUAUAUUAAAUAUUGAAAAAACGAGAAGAACAAUUAAUAUGUCUCUUACAUGAAAAGAUCUUCCUACAAAAUAAAUGCUUUUUGCAGUUAUUUGCAUUAGCAUCAUAGCUGUGUUCACUCUUCCAGAACAGUCUACGAAGGGACUGAGUCAGUGACAUCAUUGUCUUAUUAUGGACACUGAUUCUGGGCUGAAGUUCGUCAUCCUGUCAACAGCAAGUGUGACCAUUUGCAGGGCAAGGACAUGUCAGGACACCUGGGACACAUUUGUAUAUACAGCCUUUUCCUGCUGUCUGUCUGCUGGCCGCUUAAACUUAAUCCCUCCCACGUGCCACUUAAAGUCCACAGUGACUUUAAGGCAUCUGCUGUAUUCUGUCUGCUGGACACCACCAACCAUGAACCGAGGGAUCAGCUGA
rnacentral:lncRNA from 1 species